AAAAAGAACAUUUCUUCAAAUUUAUUAUUUUUUUUUAUGGGGGAUGUUAAUUGGCAACAGCAUAGACUAGUGUUAUGCACAAAAGCAAAAUAUUGAAUAUAAAUUCUAAUCAUAUAACCAAUUCUAAGCUCUUUGACCACAGUUAUUCUCUGUCAGAUACCUAUUGUGUGUCAAAUAUUUAAUUACAAUCCAAAUUCAGACCUGUAUCAAGUGCACAGGGUUGGACCUCUGCUAUCGCAUCCAACUGCGCCCGGCGAAGCAAUUUAUUCUAUUUUAAGAUAAAUACAUGAAUAAUGAAAUAGAAAAUUUAGUUAAGACCUCAGUUGUAGAUGGUUAUAUCAAUAACUUUCAAACUAGCCAUCAUGGCAUUUUAUCAGCUUGUUAUUUUGAAAAUAAAAAUUUAUGAAUUUAAAGAAAAAACAUGUCUGUCAGAUAAAUGUAACUGCAUACAGUUCAAAAUGUGGAUAUCAUUCUUUGUGCCAUUCAACUGUUCCUUAUGUCAUAACUACAAGCCCCUUCCCUUUUCACAAAUGAUACCUAACAAAUUAUUUACAGGAUUUGUAAUAACAUGAGCAACAAAACGUGCCUCAUGUGGAGCAGGAUCUGCUUAUCCUUCUGGAGUACAUGAGAUCACCCCCAGUUUUUGUUUGGGUUCUUGUUGCUUUGUCUUUAUCUGUUGUGUCUUGUGUACUAUUAUUUGUCUGUGUGUCUUUUUCUAUUUUAGCCAUGGCGUUUUUUUUGUUUUUUUUUAUCUAUGAGAUUGACUGUCUCUCUGGUGUCUUUCCCCUCUUUUGCCUGUCAACACUUCAUAUUUUUAUUUAUAGCUAAUUCCAUACAAGAGUGCACACAAUGAGUUGUCUUGCCUGCUUUAAUUAUCAUGAUUGAAUUUUUGUUAUUUGGGUAUAAUACUAAAAGGUUUACUAUCAGUUUAAAAUAUAUUCAACAUGAUCAAUGUAAAUGAGGUUAAGGUCAGAUGUACUCUGCUAGUCAAACAUACACUUGACAAUAGUACCAUACACUAAAUAUACCGGUAGUUAACUUAAUAGUAUUGCUUAUGCAACAGAG
rnacentral:lncRNA from 1 species